UGUUUGUAGUCCUAUGGUUAGGAUAAUUGCCUUUUAAGCAAUAGACCCGGGUUCGACUCCUGGCAGAUCAA
rnacentral:tRNA from 1 species